rnacentral:rRNA from 1 species
CGCACGGGUGAGUAACACGUAUCCAACCUGCCGUCUACUCUUGGACAGCCUUCUGAAAGGAAGAUUAAUACAAGAUGGCAUCAUGAGUCCGCAUGUUCACAUGAUUAAAGGUAUUCCGGUAGACGAUGGGGAUGCGUUCCAUUAGAUAGUAGGCGGGGUAACGGCCCACCUAGUCUUCGAUGGAUAGGGGUUCUGAGAGGAAGGUCCCCCACCAUUGGAACUGAGACACGGUCCAAACUCCUACGGGAGGCAGCAUG